CAGUCACCAUAUGCCGGGAGAGAGGAGCAGGGAGUCGUAUCACGAUGGUAGUUUUUUGGCGUCGUGAGGAGGGUGAGGAGGAAGAGGAGGAGGAGGUGGGGGGGGAGUCAGAGCCGAGGGCUCACGGUGCAUGUAGCACAUCAGAUCUCCCUCAAUUAAUCCAACAUUAGGUGCCUGGGAUCCACGAGUCAGUGCUUUUGGAAAGCAUGUGUGGCUCAAAUCUAAUUAUUCUCUCCCUUCCUUUGAGCCGGAGAGGGUGGAGAGAGAUAGAGAGAGAGACAGAGAGAGAGAGAGAGUGGCCAUCCACGUAGCUAUAGGUUUUGUUAUGCUGUGAUUUCUCUCUCUCUCCCUCGCUCGCUCGCCCGCUCACUCCGAACCCCCUUCUACCCCACCUCCUCCUCUCUCUCACUCAUUCUCCAUCUCUCUCUCACACACACACACACGCGCCAAACACUCUCUCUCUCCUCCUCUGCCUCUCUCUCUCCGUCUGUCUCUCCCUCCCUCAGCUUCACUCGCUCUUGUGCUGUAAGUUCAUUUGCUGUGUCAAGCAACAACUGGCUCGGGAGUGGGCAGUGGGUUUUGAUCCUUUUGUCAAGCGUCCCCCCUGCAAGCGUGUACCGCGUCCACCUGCGCACCACGGGACUGGCCGCCUGGCUCUCUCUAACAUCGCUGUACCGUCCUGGGUUUAUCACGAUCGGGCAUCCCACCUUGCUGAGAUGGGUGGCACGAUGAGAUGCUGAAGGUUUGACGGGGCGAACCCGCUACUGUGGACUAUCAUCAUUGUAAUCAUCGCAGUGGUGAUGGGAGUCAGGACAUGGACGCUCGCCGGAGGACCUCCGCGGGGUCCUUGCAUCCCAGACGAGCCGUUGAGAAGCCCUUGCCUUGCGCUACAAAGCGUCUUCAAUCAAUUGUUUUGAAAAGGCCUUUCCGUUUUCCGACGAUGCCGGCGGUUCUGUUGUUUCUCUCUGUAAAGGACUCUCUUCGGUGACGGGUAUUCUUGGGUGGAUAAUACGGCUCUCGUUGUUAUUGCUUAAGAAUACGCGUAGUCGAGGAGAGUCAUGUCGGCGGCGACUGCAAUGGACUAGAGAGAGCGUUGAAUCCAGAAGGCCCACCUGCCUGCACACACACAUGCGUUUGCUAACGCCGAGGUUCACGCCCACAUCCAUUUAUUGAGUCAGCGAAGCUGCAUUUCCUGUUUGUGUGUGAUGCUUGUGCUCUUGAUUUAUCCGGCUACUCCUGCUUUUCAGCCAGCGCAAAGGAAAAACCAGGGUUUUUAUGAUUCGCCGUCCUCACCCCAAAGGCUGUAUAUUGUAACAUCCCGGGCGGGGUUGUAGAUGCAAAUGUGUUCGGUUUGUGCCAUAUAUUCUUUUCUCAGGACCGCACACACACUCUACCUUUUUAAUGCAAAUUGAUUUUGAAAUGACAUUUAUCGUGCAGGGUUUCCAUAUGGAGCUCCGGGAGGGAUGGAUGGAAGGGGGGGAAAAAUAGGAAAAAAAUGAAUGAAAUGUCCACGACGCCACUGACAGCUAAAUUUAUGCGGAUUGUAAAGGAACACACUGCAGAUAAACAGUUACCACGGCUUUAGAUUGACUGCGGCGUGGCUUCCCGUGUAGGCACGCGUAUAUCAUGAAUAUGUAUCAGGCGAGCGUAUGAUGCUGCAUUCUAACGUCCAUGAAAUCCAUUUAGGCAACCUAAUAGGAUCUACUUGACUUAUGAAAGCUUACGAUCAAAUCUUAUAAAUAUACAUGAGAGAGUUUUAUGUGAAAAAAGUAUUCUUUUGCUUUUUUAUAUAGAUGUAGUUUGCAUAAAAACGAGUUUGCAUUUGGACCGGCUGUUGAUGUAUUGACGUGAACGAUUUGUAAAUCUGCAAACAUUUUAAUUUGUUCUCCAUUAUCAUUCGGCACAUUUAAGUGAUGUAUUAGCAUUUCAGAUAGACUAAAGGCAACAAUCAGCCCGCUCUGUCCUUGAUCACUCUGUAAUUAUCGUUCUUUCGGCUGUGUGUUUAAAUGAAUAGAGAGAAAAGAGGUGUGGAGGAGGAAUCAUGUAAUGUUUUACCACUAGGGGACAUAAACACAAUUGAAAACCACAUUAGUUGGUUAACUUUUUAAGUCCUUUUUGAUAUCAUUGUAUCUGUUUAGAUGAAAUAGUUUUAGAUCUAACAGGUUUUGGCUGUUUAAAAAAAAAAAAAAAUUGAUUUAUUUUUUUUUUAUAUUAUUCUUAGUAAUGUGCAUUCAAAAUGAAUGGCGGUUCAUUUAUUCCUUUAUUAAUUUUUGCUGAACAGUGCCUUAGGAGUGACAAUUGUGAAAAAGGUCACAUGCAACCUUAACAAUGAUCUGUUAUAUUAUAAUAUUUUCCUGUUUUUAAAGAUUAAAACACUUAUUUGUUUAACUAAAAUAUUCUACCCUCUCAUAGUUGUGAUGUCUGAAGCAUAUUGAUAGUGUGUCUCUCUGAUAUCAUUUUUAUUGAUGCUGUUGAGUAAAUAUCUCGCUGUAAACUCCUCACACAGAUUAACUUCCAUCUGUCUGCGGUUUAUGACGUGAUGAAAUUAUUCAGGCCUCUGCAGCUCGUCUUCAUUUGUUCUUUAUUGAAAUUAUUUUUAUGUGCACAUCGUCUUUGUUCCUCCCCUCAUAUCAUAAAUAAAGCUUGAUUUAAGUAAAUUAUGAUGUAUUUGUAUAUUUUGUCCUUUUAUAGGUGAAGAAUCGGUUUUA